AACGAACGCUGGCGGCGCGCCUAAUACAUGCAAGUCGAGCGAGAAGACGUAGCAAUACGUUUGUAAAGCGGCGAACGGGUGAGGAAUACAUGGGUAACCUACCCUCGAGUGGGGAAUAACUAGCCGAAAGGUUAGCUAAUACCGCGUACGCUCCUUGGACUUCGGUUCAGGGAGGAAAGCGAUACCGUGGGUAUCGCGCUCUUGGAUGGGCUCAUGUCCUAUCAGCUUGUUGGUGAGGAACGGCUCACCAAGGCUUCGACGGGUAGCUGGUCUGAGAGGACAAUCAGCCACACUGGCACUGCGACACGGGCCAGACUCCUACGGGAGGCAGCAGUAAGGAAUAUUGCGCAAUGGGCGAAAGCCUGACGCAGCGACGCCGCGUGGGGGAUGAAGGUC
rnacentral:rRNA from 1 species